GGGACCCCUAAAGGUCAUCUAGUCCAAUUCCAUUUUAUGACAUAAUACAAUUGACCAAGACCUGACUCCCGAGAGGCACCUCUCCUGAAAGAAAGGGAAAUGAACCCAAAGAAACCUAGCAUGCACAAGCCCAACACAUUAUGAAAAACAUCACUUAGCUCAGUUUUGGCUUUGUUGGCUGUCUGAUGUUUGCUGUGUACCUUAAGCAUUACCCAUCAUGUUUACCCAUACUGAGAGCUGGGAGGAGGAGCACAUAACUCUUUGCCAAGACUCUGGUGGUUGAAGAGACUCAUCCCCAGGGGCAGGAGGAGAGAUGCCCAGCAGCCCUGCAGUGAUUUCCAGAGCAGGAAAGGGUACAUGAAGACUUGGGAAGUGCAUCAUCAAUCAGGUGGCCUUAUAAUCCUUGUUGGUCUUUACAGACAAAUCACCCAGCGAUGGCAAAUGGGAUUUACAAAGACGGUAACAGAACUUCAAACUCUGUUCCAGGAUUUCAAGAUACAGCAACUGGACCCAACAAGAGUGCAAGGACAGAUACUGUCCGUGCCAUGUUCUAUACAAUCUAAGGGAACAACCUCCCAGAACAAUUAACUGAUGAAUGCAUUUUAAACCCUCACCUCAAGGCAAAAGGUCCUUGUCCCAUGGCCUUGCAGUCUAGCUUUCCUGUCCCCAGUGUUUUCUGUCUAAGUUUUCAGCAGUUUUCUGUCUAAGUUCCCACUCCUUUCUCUUUUUCCCUCUCUCCUCAAGUUUUUCUUUGACAGCUCGUGUUCCAUGUGACUAGAAACAGGAACGAUUUAAAAGGGUGCCUCUGAUUAUAAUAAAACAAAAAAGCCAGAGGUUGUUUUGUUUUCC
rnacentral:lncRNA from 1 species